rnacentral:tRNA from 1 species
ACUCACUUAGCUCAGUAGGUUAGAGCAGGAAUCUUAUACAUUCAAGGUCAAAAGUUCAAGUCUUUUAGUGAGUA